rnacentral:rRNA from 1 species
UACGGGGGGGGCAAGCGUUGUUCGGAAUUACUGGGCGUAAAGGGCGCGUAGGCGGUUCGAUAAGUCAGCUGUGAAAACCAUGGGCUUAACUCAUGGCCUGCAGUUGAGACUGUCGGGCUGGAGUGUGGGAGAGGAGAGUGGAAUUCCUGGUGUAGCGGUGAAAGUGACGCAGAUAGUCAGGAGGAACACCGGUGGCGAAGGCGGGUCUCU